rnacentral:rRNA from 1 species
AUUGAACGCUGGCGGCAGGCCUAACACAUGCAAGUCGGACGGUAGCACAGAGGAGCUUGCUCCUCGGGUGACGAGUGGCGGACGGGUGAGUAAUGUCUGGGGAUCUGCCCGAUAGAGGGGGAUAACCACUGGAAACGGUGGCUAAUACCGCAUAACGACGCAAGACCAAAGAGGGGGACCUUCGGGCCUCUCACUAUCGGAUGAACCCAGAUGGGAUUAGCUAGUAGGCGGGGUGACGGCCCACCUAGGCGACGAUCCCUAGCUGGUCUGAGAGGAUGACCAGCCACACUGGAACUGAGACACGGUCCAGACUCCUACGGGAGGCAGCAGUGGGGAAUAUUGCACAAUGGGCGCAAGCCUGAUGCAGCCAUGCCGCGUGUAUGAAGAAGGCCUUCGGGUUGUAAAGUACUUUCAGCGGGGAGGAAGGCGAUGUGGUUAAUAACCGCGUCGAUUGACGUUACCCGCAGAAGAAGCACCGGCUAACUCCGUGCCAGCCGCCGCGGUAA